CCUACGGGGGGCAGCAGUGAGGAAUAUUGGUCAAUGGACGAGAGUCUGAACCAGCCAAGUAGCGUGAAGGAUGACUGCCCUAUGGGUUGUAAACUUCUUUUAUAUGGGAAUAAAAUGUUCCACGUGUGGGAUUUUGUAUGUACCAUAUGAAUAAGGAUCGGCUAACUCCGUGCCAGCAGCCGCGGUAAUACGGAGGAUCCGAGCGUUAUCCGGAUUUAUUGGGUUUAAAGGGAGCGUAGGGGGCUUGUUAAGUCAGUUGUGAAAGUUUGCGGCUCAACCGUAAAAUUGCAGUUGAAACUGGCAGCCUUGAGUACGCUAGAGGUGGGCGGAAUUCGGGGUGUAGCGGUGAAAUGCUUAGAUAUCACGAAGAACUCCGAUUGCGAAGGCAGCUCACUGGACUGCAACUGACACUGAUGCUCGAAAGUGUGGGUAUCGAACAGGAUUAGAUACCCGGGUAGUC
rnacentral:rRNA from 1 species